rnacentral:rRNA from 1 species
GGUCGACCACGCCGCCUGUUUAUCAAAACAUCGCCUCUUGCAUGCCUAUAAGAGGUCCAGCCUGCCCAGUGACUCUGUUCAACGGCCGCGGUAUCCUAACCGUGCGAAGGUAGCGUAAUCACUUGUUCUUUAAAUGAGGACUAGUAUGAAUGGCACCACGAAGGCUAUACUGUCUCCUCUCUCUAAUCAGUGAAACUAAUCUCCCCGUGAAGAAACGGGGAUAAUUAUAUAAGACGAGAAGACCCUAUGGAGCUUUAAACUAAGAACAACUGCUUUCUUGCCCUUGAAAUCCCAGGAAAUUAACUUUUAUUUAAGCACUCUGGUUUCUAGUUUUAGGUUGGGGUGACCACGGGUAAAACCAACCUCCGCAGUGAACAGGGAUCUUCCCUAAGCCAAGGGCCACAAUCCUAAGAAUCAAUAUAUUGACAUCAAUUGACCCAAAAAUUUGAUCAAUGAACCAAGUUACCCUAGGGAUAACAGCGCAAUCCACUUCAAGAGCUCCUAUCGACAAGUGGGUUUACGACCUCGAUGUUGGAUCAGGGUGUCCCAGUGGUGCAGCCGCUACUAACGGUUCGUUUGUUCAACGAUUAAAACCCUACGUGAUCUGAGUUCAGACCGGGCGUGGUCGACC